AGUAACGCGUGAGGAACCUGCCUUUCAGAGGGGGACAACAGUUGGAAACGACUGCUAAUACCGCAUAACACAUAGGUGUCGCAUGGCAUUUAUGUCAAAGAUUUAUCGCUGAAAGAUGGCCUCGCGUCUGAUUAGCUAGUUGGUGAGGUAACGGCUCACCAAGGCGACGAUCAGUAGCCGGACUGAGAGGUUGGCCGGCCACAUUGGGACUGAGAUACGGCCCAGACUCCUACGGAAGGCAGCAG
rnacentral:rRNA from 1 species